CUCAGGCCACUGCUGAGUAUUAGGAAAAGAGCCAUAAAUUGAUUCCCUGCCAGGAUCCCCAUGAAUAGAAAAACCACAUAGUCUGAAAUGGUAGUCAACAGCCAUGACCUUUCUUGGGAACACUUGACAAGGUUGUUGGUGAACAAGCAUAUCCAGUGUGCAGCCAGACAGGCUGGUAAGGUGCUAAGGAGAACAGCAGCAGCAGCAGCUAAUGGGAUGGCCUCCUUUUUCAGAGGAAGCAGUACCUCUCUGGCAUCUCUGCCUGGUGCCAUGCUGCCUGAAGUAAGAAGAAUCAGCUUCUGGAAAAGAGCUUGCAGUCUCAGCACAAAGGACAUAAUAAAGAAUUCUGUAAGAGCCAUGAGGACUCAUCUUUAAUGAGGAUUUUGUGGAGAAGUCCAGAAGCCUCUUAUGAUUUUGCAGUGUGGGGACAAUAGCUGGACUGUCUUUCUUUACUUGUUGAUUCACCAAAGCAAUUAAUGACUUUGUAGCUGAGUCUCCUACAAACCCAGUGAGGCAAAAACACCCAACUCUAGCCUUGAGCUCUGAAGAAAAAAAUGCACUUGAGUAUAAGUAUCAUAGAUGUGCAAUGCUGGAAAGGCCUUGGUGCUCAUGAGCUAUGUCUCUUUACCAAGAAGAGGUUGGUAUAUAAAAUUAGUGUCCAAGUUUCCCUAUUACAACACUUUUGCAAAAGCUGGAGACUUGAUUUUCCAGCUGCAGAAUUCAAACACGGACCACCUUGUUGCUUAUAAUGCAUCAAUAGUACCAGUUUUAUGAAUGGGCAGGACUCUGUGGAAUUGGGAAGAGUCUCCUGGGACCCCAAACUUUCCCCAUUACUUUGAUGAAUGCUUGAAGUACCAUCCACUCUAUUUCACUGCCUUGGCUUAAGGCUCUGACCUACUAAAAUGUGAAUACUAUAUCUCUGGAUGAGAUGGUCACUUACAUAUCAGUUCAAAUAAUUUUAUCAGUUCUUGCUAAUGAGGAGGAAAUGGAGAGAAAUGGGCUGAAGCUCAAGGCUGCAGAAAUGGGGUUGCACAGAAUGGAGAGAGGAGCCAGUGGGGUGAGGGGAGUGUCUAGGGACAAACUUCUGUGAUUUCACACAUUUACCAAGGUUCAGUAGAAACAAUAAUUACAUAGAAAGAACUCAGGUGAUCUGUCUAAACUACACAAUACUGCUUGUAAAGCUGUACCCAGG
rnacentral:lncRNA from 1 species